UACGUAGGGGGCAAGCGUUGUCCGGAAUCAUUGGGCGUAAAGAGCGCGUAGGCGGUCCGGUAAGUCCGCUCUGAAAGUCCGGGGCUCAACCCCGGGAGGCGGGCGGAUACUGCCGGGCUAGAGUCCGGAAGAGGCGAGUGGAAUUCCUGGUGUAGCGGUGAAAUGCGCAGAUAUCAGGAGGAACACCGAUGGCGAAGGCAGCUCGCUGGGACGGUAGCUGACGCUGAGACGCGAAAGCGUGGGGAGCGAACAGG
rnacentral:rRNA from 1 species